rnacentral:rRNA from 1 species
ACGGAAGGCAGCAGUGGGGAAUAUUGGGCAAUGGGCGAAAGCCUGACCCAGCAACGCCGCGUGAAGGAAGAAGGUCUUCGGAUUGUAAACUUCUUUUAUAAGGGACGAAGAAAGUGACGGUACCUUAUGAAUAAGCCACGGCUAACUACGUGCCAGCAGCCGCGGUAAUACGUAGGUGGCAAGCGUUAUCCGGAUUUACUGGGUGUAAAGGGCGCGUAGGCGGGAAGGCAAGUCAGGUGUGAAAUCUAUGGGCUUAACCCAUAAACUGCAUUUGAAACUGUCUUUCUUGAGUGCUGGAGAGGUAGACGGAAUUCCUUGUGUAGCGGUGAAAUGCGUAGAUAUAAGGAAGAACACCAGUGGCGAAGGCGGUCUACUGGACAGUAACUGACGCUGAGGCGCGAAAGCGUGGGGAGCAAACAGGAUUAGAUACCCUGGUA